rnacentral:rRNA from 1 species
GACGAACGCUGGCGGCGUGCUUAACACAUGCAAGUCGAGCGGUAAGGCCCUUUCGGGGUACGACGAGCGGCGAACGGGUGAGUAACACGUGGGUGACCUGCCCUCAGCUCUGGGAGUAAAGCCCGGGAAACGUAGGGUCGUAAUACCGGAUAUGACUCCAUGACGCAUGUUGUGGGGUGGAAAGCCUUGUGCGGCUGAGGAUGGGCCCGCGGCCUAAUCAGCUUGUUGGUGGGGUGAGGCCUACCAAGGCGACGACGGGUAGCCGGCCUGAGAGGGCGACCGGCCACACUGGGAC